rnacentral:rRNA from 1 species
CCGGCAAACGGGUGCGGAACACGUACACAACCUUCCUUCAAAUGGGGAAUAGCCCAGGGAAACUUGGAUUAAUACCCCGUAACAUUAUGAAGUGGCAUCACUUUAUAAUUAUAGCUCCGGCGUUUGGAGAUGGGUGUGCGGCUGAUUAGGUAGUUGGCGGGGUAACGGCCCACCAAGCCUCGAUCAGUAACUGGUGUGAGAGCACGACCAGUCACACGGGCACUGAGACACGGGCCCG